UUGUUAUGUCUGUACCGUGUACU
rnacentral:snRNA from 1 species